UACGUAGGGGGCAAGCGAUGUCCGGAAUUAUUGGGCGUAAAGCGCGCGCAGGCGGCGCGUUAAGUCGGAUGUGAAAGGCUACGGCUCAACCGUAGAGCUGCAUCCGAAACUGGCGGCCUUGAGUGCAGGAGAGGGGAGUGGAAUUCCCGGUGUAGCGGUGGAAUGCGUAGAGAUCGGGAGGAACACCAGUGGCGAAGGCGACUCUCUGGCCUGUAACUGACGCUGAGGCUCGAAAGCGUGGGGAGCAAACAGG
rnacentral:rRNA from 1 species